GACGAACGCUGGCGGCGUGCCUAAUACAUGCAAGUAGAACGCUGAAGCUUGGUGCUUGCACCGAGCGGAUGAGUUGCGAACGGGUGAGUAACGCGUAGGUAACCUGCCUGGUAGCGGGGGAUAACUAUUGGAAACGAUAGCUAAUACCGCAUAACAGUAGAUAUCGCAUGAUAGCUACUUGAAAGGUGCAAAUGCACCACUACCAGAUGGACCUGCGUUGUAUUAGCUAGUUGGUGAGGUAACGGCUCACCAAGGCAACGAUACAUAGCCGACCUGAGGGGGUGAUCGGCCACACUGGGACUGAGACACGGCCCAGACUCCUACGGGAGGCAGCAGUAGGGAAUCUUCGGCAAUGGACGGAAGUCUGACCGAGCAACGCCGCGUGAGUGAAGAAGGGUUUCGGAUCGUAAAGCUCUGUUGUAAGAGAAGAACGAGUGUGAGAGUGGAAAGUUCACACUGUGACGGUAUCUUACCAGAAAGGGACGGCUAACUACGUG
rnacentral:rRNA from 1 species